rnacentral:misc_RNA from 1 species
GAUGAAGAACGUAGCGAAAUGCGAUAAGUAAUGUGAAUUGCAGAAUUCAGUGAAUCAUCGAAUCUUUGAACGCACAUUGCGCCCCCUGGUAUUCCGGGGGGCAUGCCUGUCCGAGCGUCAUUGCAACCUUCAAGCGCGGCUUGUGUGUUGGGUCUCGUCCCCCGUGGACGGGCCCGAAAGGCAGUGGCGGCGUCCCGACAUGGUGCCCGAGCGUAUGGGAAUCCUCUUCCGCUCGAAUCGGCCCAUGCGGCGCUGGUCGUAACCAAAUUUUUUACCGGUUGACCUCGGAUCAGGUAGGGAUACCCGCUGAACUUAAGCAUAUCAAUAAGCGGAGGA